GAGACGUAGUACAGGCUAGCUUGUAAACAUAUCAGCAAUAUGUCUGACAGUUCUAGUACUAGUAAUUCUGCCAAUGGGACCUUAGUGGUGUCCAAUACUAGGAGAUCAAAAGUCUGGAAGCAUUUUGAGCCAAAUUUGGUUUUCGUAGAUGAGAUUCCAAAGGCCGUCUGCUUGUAUUGUGGACUCAAAUUGACAGAUACUCACAGUUCUGGCACUGGUUUGUAGUAAAGAUUGGUUGACUAAACUUCCGGAGAACGAAGGUAAAGACCCAAUGGUGAUUGUCUCCUAGAUCUUUGAUCUCCAUCAAUGCCUACAGAUGAUUGUAUAUUUCUGCUGCUGUCUGCUGCCGGGCAUUGCUGCUGUUGCUUGCUGUGCACCUGAACUUUGACAUGGAGUGAUGCUGAUAAUAUUCAUGAACUGCGAUAUGAAGCGAAGGCCUCUACCCGCAACCAUUUUCAUUGCCAUGGAGUUCAGCCCUUUUUAUGGUUACUAGUGUCGUUAGAGCUUUGUUGCUUGAUGAGAAGAGCAUGAUUAUCUUGAUGAACUGUAAAUCUAUUAUGUGCACUAUCUCAGCGUCGUUUUCUUUUAGAUGUGUUUUAUUUCUGUUUUUUCGGGACCUCUAGACCGAUUAUCAUCCUCGGUUAAUGCAUCUGGGGACACUGAUAUGAAUUAAUCAUAUUGUUACAUGAGAGCCUGACAUCGAUGUAUAUCUAAUGAUGCCAUGAAUUUUGUUACUGUAAUUGUUUUGUACAG